rnacentral:lncRNA from 1 species
CGUCUCGCAGCCCCCACUCGUUUGCCAUGUUUUGGGGCGCUGGCGCUACCGGGCCUUUGAUGGGAAGAGCUAUGGCUUGGCGGGGGCUUGCACCCAGACGUUGGUGAGCACCUGUGGCACCCAGUUGCCCACCCUCCAUGUCACGGCGGGCGGCCAGUUUGGAGCGGGACCGGGCGCCUCCUUCAGCCACGUCACGCUCCGCGGUGAUGGCUUCGAGGUCGUCCUGCACCGAGGCGAGGAGACGAUGGCGAGGGUGGCCGGGACCCGGGUCCCCCUGCCCCUCUCACUGGCAGGGGGUCGGGUGCGCCUGGAGCGAAGAGGGGGACAACGGCGGGUGGCCACGACCAUAGGCGUGCGGGUGGCCGUUGGUGGGGACGGCGCGGUGACGGUGACGGCACCGGCGACGCUACGGGGGCAGCUCUGUGGGCUCUGCGCCCAUCCUGAGGAGGGGGCCGGCGAGGGACAGGGGACACAGUGCUGUGAGUGGGGUGUGGGGACGUUAAUUGGGGACGGGGACCCCAGUUAGAGGGUCUGGAGGGAAUGGGGGACUGGGAUGGGGACAACCAACGGGUUGGGGAUGGGCGUUGAGUUGGGAAUGGGGAUGGAGAAAUGGGUGAAGAAGGUUGAAGGGAUGAGGAAAUGGGGGAAGGAGAUUGAAGGGAUGGGGAAAUGGGAGAAAAAAUGGAGAAAUGGGUGAAGGACUUUGAAGGGAUGAGGGAAGGGAUGAGGAAAUGGAUGAAGAAGGUUGAAGGGAUGAGGAAAUGGGUGAAAGGAUGGAGAAAUGGGUGAAGGACUUUGAAGGGAUGAGGAAAUGGGUGAAGAGGGAUGAAGGGACAAGGAAAUGGGUGAAGGAGGUUGAAGAGAUGGGUGAAGAAAGAUGAAGGGAUGAAGAAAUGGGUGUAGGAGGUUGAAGGGAAGAGGAAAUGAGUGAAGGAGGUCAAAAGGAUGAGGAAAUGGGUGAAGGAGGUCAAAGGAAUGAGGAAAUGGGUGAAGAAGGUCGAAGGAAUGAGGAAAUGGGUGAAGGAGGUUGAGGGAUGAAGAAAUGGGUGAAGGUCAAUGAAGGGAUGAGGAAAUGGGUGAAAAGGUUGAAGGGUUGGGUGGAGGUUGAAGGGACGGGGAAAAUGGGUGAAAGGAUGGAGAAAUGGGUGAAGGAGGUUGAAGGGACGGGAGAAAGGGUGAAGAAGGAAGGAUAAUUGGGUGAAAAAGGAAGGAUAACUGAGUGAAAAAGGAAAGAUAAUUGGUAAAGAGGGGACGGAGGAGGACCAAGGAACCCUUCUAGGAGGAGAAGCCAAAUAAUCGAUUCUUCUCUUCCCACAGCCUCCUCCUGCUCACCCAAACACCCCCAGGAGCCCUGUGCCCCCAUCCCCAACCCCAUCCCCAUCCCCGUCCCCGUCCCCAAAUCCGUCCCCAACCUGGUCCCUAACCCCGUCCCCAACCCCGCCACCUGCUCAGCCCUGGGCAUGGGCCACGUCCGCACCUUCGACCGCCUCCACCACGAUUUCUCCGGCUCCUGCCUCUACCUCCUG